rnacentral:rRNA from 1 species
CAAUAGCAUAUAUUAACGUUGUUGCAGUUGAAAAGCUCGUAGUUGAACUUUUGGUAGGAGCGACCUGGCCUUGGGCGCAUGCCCUUGUUUGCCGUGUGUCGUAUCUGGCCAUCCUUUUCCGCUUCGGCGGGAAUCUUUUACUGUGAGUAAACUGGAGUGCUCAAAACAAGACGUUUGUUUGGUACAUUAAAGCAUGGAAUAAUAAGAUAGGACCUGGUUACUAUUUUGUUGGUUUGCAUAGCUAGGUAAUGAUUAACAGGGACAGUUGGGGGUAUUCGUAUUUAAUUGUCAGAGGUGAAAUUCUUGGAUUUAUGAAAGACGAACGACUGCGAAAGCAUUUACCAAGGAUGUUUNCAUUAA